rnacentral:rRNA from 1 species
GAGUAAUGUCUGGGAAACUGCCUGAUGGAGGGGGAUAACUACUGGAAACGGUGGCUAAUACCGCAUAACGUCGCAAGACCAAAGAGGGGGACCUUCGGGCCUCUUGCCAUCAGAUGUGCCCAGAUGGGAUUAGCUUGUUGGUGAGGUAACGGCUCACCAAGGCGACGAUCCCUAGCUGGUCUGAGAGGAUGACCAGCCACACUGGAACUGAGACACGGUCCAGACUCCUACGGGAGGCAGCAGUGGGGAAUAUUGCACAAUGGGCGCAAGCCUGAUGCAGCCAUGCCGCGUGUAUGAAGAAGGCCUUCGGGUUGUAAAGUACUUUCAGCGGGGAGGAAGGUGUUGUGGUUAAUAACCGCAGCAAUUGACGUUACCCGCAGAAGAAGCACCGGCUAACUCCGUGCCAGCAGCCGCGGUAAUACGGAGGGUGCAAGCGUUAAUCGGAAUUACUGGGCGUAAAGCGCACGCAGGCGGUCUGUCAAGUCGGAUGUGAAAUCCCCGGGCUCAACCUGGGAAC